AUUGAACGCUAGAGGCAGGCCUAACACAUGCAAGUCGAACGAGAGGCGGACGGGUGAGUAAGGUCUGGGAAACUGCAUGAUGGAGGGGGAUAACUACUGGAAACGGUAGCUAAUACAGCAUACCAUCAGAUGUGGCCAGAUGGGAUUAGCUAGUUGGGGGGGUAACGGCUCACAAAGGCGACGAUCAAUAGCUGGUCUGAGAGGAUGACCAGCCACACUGUAACUGAGACACGUUCCCGACUCCUACGGACGGCAGCAGUGGGGAAUAUUGCACACUGGGCGCAAGCAUGAUGCAGCCAUGCCGCGUGUAUGAAGAAGGCCUUCGGGUUUUAAAGUACUUUCAGCGGGGAGGCGUUACCCGCAGAAGAAGCACCGGCUAACUCCGUGCCAGCAGCCGCGGUAAUUC
rnacentral:rRNA from 1 species